GCGGUAUAUAUAAUCUUUGCUUCUCUUGACAGCGGCGGACCUUUGAGUAAUGCCUAGGAAUCUGCCUAUUGAUGGGGGAUAACGCCGGAAACGGACGCUCAUAUCGCAUACUUCCUACGGGAGAAAUCGGGGGAUCUUCUGGCCUCGCCCCAUUAGAUGAGCUUAGGUCGGAUUAUCUAGUUGGUGAGGCUUGGCUCACCAAUGCGACCACCCGUAACUGGUCUGAGAGGAUGAUCAUAUACCCUGGUACUGAGACACGGUCCUACUCCUACCGGAGGCAGCACUGGGUAACCUCGACAAUGGGCGAAAGCCUGAUCCAACCAUGCCGCGUCCGUGAAAAUGGUCUUCCGAUUGUAAAGCCCUUUAAGUUGGGAGGAAGGGUAGUAACUUAUACUUUCCUACUUUGACGUUACCNCNGAAUAAUCACCGCCUAACUUCGUGCCUCGUCCGCGGUCAUAC
rnacentral:rRNA from 1 species